AUGUCCAUGAUGGCCGGCCAGAGCGAGGACAACCUGCGCAAGGUGUUCGCCCAGGCCGAGGCCCGGGCGCCGUCCAUGAUCUUCAUGGACGAGAUCGACGCCAUCGCGCCCAACCACGAGAAGACGCACGGCGAGGUGGAGCGCCGCGUCGUGUCCCAGCUGCUCAUGCUCAUGGACGGCCUCCGCCCGCGCGCGCAGGUCAUGGUCAUCGGCGCCACCAACCGCCCCAACAGCCUCGACCUCGUGCUCCGGCGCGACAGCCGCUUCGACAAGGAGAUCGAUAUCGGCGUGCCCGACGAGGUCGGCCACCUCGAUAUCCUCCGCAUCCACUCCAAGGACAUGCCCCUCUCGGACGACGUCGACCUGGAGCGCAUCAGCAAGGACACGCACUGCUUCGUCGGCGCCGACCUCGCCGUGCUCUGCUCCGAGGCGGCCUUCCAGUGCAUCCGCCAGAAGAUGGACGUGAUCGACCUCGAGGCGGACACCAUCGACGUGGAGGUGCUCAACUCCAUGUCCGUGAUCAUGGACGACCUGGUGCACGCCAAGGAGGUGACCAAGCCGUCGGCGCUGCGGGAGACGGGUCUGGUGGAGGUCCCCAAGGUGUCGUGGGCGGCCUGGAGGAUGUCAAGCGGGAGCUCCAGGAGACGGUGCAGUACCGUACCGGGUGGAGCACCCAGAGAUGUUCGAGCUCUUCGGCAUGGAGCCGUCGCGAGACGUGAGCUCCUCGACUGUGACGUUGCCGGGCGACGUGCUGCUUGUCACCUCGAUGUCCGCCAGGACGGUGUCGGCCUUGCGGUUGAUAUCCGCCGGCGGCGGUCCUUAGCCCACACCUUGAACGUGUCCCGCGGCAAUGGCGAUGCCUCCGCCCUGAUGCACACCGCGGACGCGGUCGCGCCGGGGCCGAGCACACUGCCGACCAGGCGGAACGCGCGGUCAUCCUCCUCCCUGAGCAGCAGCCGCUAG
rnacentral:rRNA from 1 species